GACGAACGCUGGCGGCGUGCCUAAUACAUGCAAGUCGAACGCUGAAGGAGGAGCUUGCUCUUCUGGAUGAGUUGCGAACGGGUGAGUAACGCGUAGGUAACCUGCCUGGUAGCGGGGGAUAACUAUUGGAAACGAUAGCUAAUACCGCAUAACAGUAGAUGUUGCAUGACAUUUACUUAAAAGGUGCAAUUGCAUCACUACCAGAUGGACCUGCGUUGUAUUAGCUAGUUGGUGGGGUAACGGCUCACCAAGGCGACGAUACAUAGCCGACCUGAGAGGGGGAUCGGCCACACUGGGACUGAGACACGGCACAGACGCCUACGGGAGGCAGCAGUAGGGAAUCUUCGGCAAGGGACGGAAGUCUGACCGAGAAACGCCGCGUGAGUGAAGAAGGUUGUCGGAUCGGAAAGCUCGGUUGUAAGAGAAGAACGAGUGUGAGAGUGGAAAGUUCACACUGUGACGGUAGCUGACCAGAAAGGGACGGCUAACUACGUG
rnacentral:rRNA from 1 species